AUUAAAACACAAGUUCCCGUAAGAUCACCGAAGUUAAGCAAUGUCCAGCCCGGUUAGUAUCUAGAUGGGUGGCCGCUUGGGAAUACCAGGAGCUGUAA